rnacentral:rRNA from 1 species
GCGCUUUAUGGCGUAUUCGAGCCUGCCUUCGACAAGGAGGGUUAAGUCGUAACAAGGUAUCUGUAGGGGAACCUGCAGAUGGAUCACCUCCUAAGAAA